GAGCAACAUGCUACAGAAUAGCCCAGUGCCAGGAUGCUCACUUGGGAGCAGGGAGAACUGAGUUCAAGUCCCUGCUCCAGAGCCAGGCAUUAAACCUGGAUCUCCCACCGCCCAGGAGAGGUACUAAAGCAAGGAUUCCAUCAUUGGUUUUAUAAAGACUCAUUGUUAAAUUGGAGGUAACGGGAAGCUGGUGAGCCAUUGUUGGAUCAGAUACUUUGCUCUUAUCCCCUUGAGCUAUAAUGAGAAACACAAUUUAGAAAAGAGCCUUGCCUCUCUCUUAGAACCUGAUCCUGCAAGGAGGCUGAGUGACUUCAAGACCCAUCAAAGUCAAUGAGCACGACCCUUAGUCUCUCUUGGUGCAAUCCUGCUUUUGUUAUAAGAGAUUAUAAAAUAAUCCAAUCAUUU